rnacentral:rRNA from 1 species
UACGUAGGGACCAAGCGUUGUUCGGAUUUACUGGGCGUAAAGGGCGCGUAGGCGGCGUGGUAAGUCACUUGUGAAAUCUCUGAGCUUAACUCAGAACGGCCAAGUGAUACUGCUGUGCUAGAGUGCAGAAGGGGCAAUCGGAAUUCUUGGUGUAGCGGUGAAAUGCGUAGAUAUCGGGAGGAACACCAGUAGCGAAGGCGGCUCGCUGGGCCGUUCCUGACGCUGAGACGCGAAAGCUAGGGGAGCGAACAGG